rnacentral:rRNA from 1 species
AGCUCUGUAAGCGUAUACCAAAGUUGUUGCAGUUAAAACGCUCGUAGUCGGAACUUGGCGGACAAUUUGCUUCGUCCUCACGGAUGGUAGCAAAUUGGCCGCCUUUGUGGAGGGUGACCUACUGGUUCUUUACUGAAUCGUUAGGUUGCUGCCACCAUUUACUGUGAAAAAAUUAGAGUGUUCAAAGCAGGCGUUUGCCGUGAAUAGAUUAGCACCUGGUUUCUAUUUUGUUGGUUUGUUAGAAUCGGGUAAUGAUUAAGAGGGAUGGUUGGGGGCAUUUGUAUUCCAGCGUCAGAGGUGAAAUUCUUGGAUUGUUGGAAGACAAACAGCUGCGAAAGCGUCUGCCAAGGACAUUUUCA